GGGUAUACAAUUUGCCAAACUGGUGGCCUCCCUCAUCAUAAAUGGAGAAUUUGGAUGGUCUUCUCCUUCACAUACUCCUAUCUAAUGGGUAUAACUGCAUCAAAUCCAUUUAAUUUAGUGAGGUCGUUUCUGGUCUGAUUUCGAUUCUUGUUGAUGGAAAGAAUCGGUGUGAGCGUCUGAUCACUCAUCUAGGGUUAGGGUUCCGACUUCGUCUUCUUCGUUUGACGGAUUCACUUCCUGCUGCUUCGGUUGCUCCGUUGAUGCCGCCAGCUGGAGGUCCCGUGAAAUGUAAUUGGACGGAGCAUACAUCUCCUGAUGGAUACAGUACUACUACAACAGAACAACUGGUGAAAGCAAAUGGGAGAAACCAGAGGAGUUUCGUAUGGUUGCAUAUUUGUGUUUUAGACGAAUAACAUAAAGCCGGUUUCUUCAUCCGUAUGCGGACAACCAGGUUAGUGAAAUUUGAAUCGCCUUUUUGAAGAUGAUCUGAAUCAAUGGCCAAUUCCCUGGUCCUUGGCUUGAUGCUGUCACAACUCUUCCCAAUGUACAAAAGCACUUCUUCCCAAUUUAUAUUCUAUCAAAAAGCUACGAACUAAUGGAAAAGACUCUUAAGGUUUACAUAUACAAAGAAGGAGAUAAACCGAUAUUCCACCGGCCGGAGGCUAUGCUAACAGGAGUUUAUGCAUCCGAGGGAUGGUUCAUGAAGAAUAUCAAAGAAAGCAAAAAUUUUGUUACUGGUAACCCCGAAAAAGCCCAUCUAUUUUACAUUUCUUUUAGCUCUCGAGUAUUGCACUUACAACUAUAUGUCCCCGGGUCUCAUAGUAAAAAGAACCUGCCUCAAUACUUGAAGAACUACGUUCAUCGCAUGACAACGAGAUAUAAUUUUUGGAAUAGAACAUAAAAUAAAAAAUAUCUAUUAGAUUUAUUGAUUUUCUUUUGUUAUUUUUUUCUGAUGAUGGUUGGUUUUAUUGAGUGCAAAUUAAUGGAAAAAGUUGCUUCUGAUAAGUGUCACAAAUGGGUCUUCAAAGAACCUUCAGAAUGUGAUCAGAGCAUAUCUAACUAUUGGCAAAGUUCUUUUGAUGCUGUAUGCUUCUCCCACACACACUUACACCUUCAAACACACACACACACACACACUUUACACUUUCUCUUAGGACUUGAUUUGUGUAUAAAAACAUUUGCAUUUGGGUUCAUUUGGGUCGACUCAGAUUAUACAACAGGUCAAUUUGAUUCUAUUCGAAUCAAAUUACAACCACAAGCUUGCAUUGCUGCAGUCAUUUUUCAAAACCACUUCUUACAGCAACCGAUGGUGCUGAUGAAAUUGCAAUUAAACGUGAAGAAAGGGAAAAUCUCGCUCUAAACCACAUCACAAAAUGCCAACGUGCUUGUUUGCUGCAACCUUUUCACCGAUUGUGGUUGCUGCUGAGGAGGGUGAAUGUAUCAGGAUAUGGAAUUUAUAAUGUGCAGGUUGUUGGGUCUAAACGGAUGCAAUACCUGAUAACGACCCGCAACAUGCAUUUGGCUGGUAAUUUUGAAACCCAAAGUUGGCUGCUGAUGUUGAAGCCUAGGCCCAAUCUCGCUAAUAUGGGCUAUGAUGAUCACGUUUAAUAUCGGUGUGAAGGCCCAGUUUUGGGUGCAGAAUCGGAACCAUGGCAAAGAGGCAUCAAAUGGUCGUUACUUUGGCAUAGGUUUGAUCAUCAACAGCUCUUGGAAGGCCCAUUUUUUGGUAAAUCUGAUCACAAGUGCUAUUAUGGUCCUAUGGUGUUUACUUGCUGGUAUGAUAAAAAAGAAAGCGGGUUUUGACUUUUUCAACGGCAUCGAGAAAUACCGCUCUGCAUUUCUCAAAGCCGAACCUCAAGCGUUCGUUGUACCAAACCAUUGGGACGCCAAUGUUCUUUUUUACGUAGCUAACGGUAUCGCUUUCUCACUACAUGUUAAAAAAUAAAGUUAAUUCAAUUCAUGCGUUUUGAUAUAAUUUUUAGGCCAGGGAACGAUUACUCUGAUCGAAGGAGAUUCCCGACAAAGCCAUAACAUUAAGCGCGGGGAACUCUUCUAUGUAUCCGUGUGAAUCACCAAGUAUCUAAUCAACAUCGACAACAACGGACGCCUUGUUUUGGCGAAGAUUCUACAUUCGGUCUUCGUCCCCGGUGAAUUGCAGCUCUUUAGCGUAGAAGGUGGUAACGCAGAGUCAUCAUUCUACAACGCGUUCAGUAUCGAAGUUCUAGAAGCUGCAUUUGGUGUUGAUCGCGAAUCGGCCCAUAAAAUGGUUGGGCAGCAGAAUACUGAGGAGCAAAUUAGAUCAUUGUCCGGAGAAGAUAAAAGUAGUCGUUGGCCUUUUGGCGACCAAAAAGGAAAGGGAAGGGGCACACAUAUCUACAAGAGCGAACCAUCUGUGGCGAACGAGAACGGUAUCCUCCACGAAGUUGAUUCCAAAGAUUUCCCUGGUCUUCGAGAUAUCAAUGUAGCCUUUUCACUCUUCAAAUUUGAACGGUUUUGUGUAUUUUUUUUUUGGCAAUUACCGGACGAAUUACUUUCCGAUGAUUCUGUUUAUACUUGGUAAGGGAACUGAUACGAAGAGUUCCAAUUUUCUAAAACAUUAUGGUACAAAGUUGAGUUUAUGUUAAAUAUUAGGCUUAUGUAGCACCUA